rnacentral:rRNA from 1 species
GACGAACCGAGCGAACGUUGCUCGGAAUCACUGGGCUUAAAGGGCGCGUAGGCGGGUGCUCAAGUCCGUGGUGAAAUCCUCCGGCUCAACCGGAGAACUGCCUCGGAUACUGGGCGUCUCGAGUGUGGUAGGGGUAUGCGGAACUAUCGGUGGAGCGGUGAAAUGCGUUGAUAUCGAUAGGAACUCCGGUGGCGAAGGCGGCAUACUGGACCACCACUGACGCUGAUGCGCGAAAGCCAGGGGAGCAAACGGG